rnacentral:rRNA from 1 species
AUUGAACGCUGGCGGCAGGCCUAACACAUGCAAGUCGAACGAGUGGCGGACGGGUGAGUAAUGUCUGGGAAACUGCCCGAUGGAGGGGGAUAACUACUGGAAACGGUAGCUAAUACCGCAUACCAUCGGAUGUGCCCAGAUGGGAUUGGCUAGUAGGUGGGGUAACGGCUCACCGAGGCGACGAUCCCUAGCGGGUCUGAGCGGAUGACCAGCAAGACGGGAACUGUGACACGGUCCAGACUCCUACGGGAGGCAGCAGUGGGGAAUAUUGCACAAUGGGCGCAAUCCUGAUGCAGCCAUGCCGCGUGUAUGAAGAAGGCCUUCGGGUUGUAAAGUACUUUCAGCGGGGAGGCGUUACUCGCAGAAGAAGCACCGGCUAACUCCGUGCCAGCAGCCGCGGUAAUUC